GACGAACGCUGGCGGCGUGCUUAACACAUGCAAGUCGAACGGAAAGGCCCUGCUUUUGUGGGGUGCUCGAGUGGCGAACGGGUGAGUAACACGUGAGUAACCUGCCCUUGACUUUGGGAUAACUUCAGGAAACUGGGGCUAAUACCGGAUAGGAGCUCCUGCUGCAUGGUGGGGGUUGGAAAGUUUCGGCGGUUGGGGAUGGACUCGCGGCUUAUCAGCUUGUUGGUGGGGUAGUGGCUUACCAAGGCUUUGACGGGUAGCCGGCCUGAGAGGGUGACCGGCGAGGGGGGGAGGGGGAGAGCGGCAAGACAGGGGUGGGCGGCGGGGGGGGGGAAUACGGGACACGGGGCGGAGGGCGCAUGCGGCGAGGCCGCGGGGGGUGGGUCGGGUGUCGGGUUGGAACCCUCUUGCGCGUGGGAGGGAGGGUGGGAGACGGAGGUGGGGAAAGAAGCAGCGGCGAAAGACGGGCGAGCGGCCGGGGCAAUGAAGGGAGGGGCAGCCGGGUGACC
rnacentral:rRNA from 1 species